GACGAACGCUGGCGGCGUGCUUAACACAUGCAAGUCGAACGAAGAGCGAUGGAAGCUUGCUUCUAUCAAUCUUAGUGGCGAACGGGUGAGUAACGCGUAAUCAACCUGCCCUUCAGAGGGGGACAACAGUUGGAAACGACUGCUAAUACCGCAUACGAUCCAAUCUCGGCAUCGAGGAUGGAUGAAAGGUGGCCUCUAUUUAUGAGCUAUCACUGAAGGAGGGGAUUGCGUCUGAUUAGCUAGUUGGAGGGGUAACGGCCCACCAAGGCGAUGAUCAGUAGCCGGUCUGAGAGGAUGAACGGCCACAUUGGGACUGAGACACGGCCCAGACUCCUACGGGAGGCAGCAGUGGGGAAUCUUCCGCAAUGGACGAAAGUCUGACGGAGCAACGCCGCGUGAGUGAUGACGGCCUUCGGGUUGUAAAGCUCUGUUAAUCGGGACGAAAGGUCCUCUUGCGAAUAGUUAGAGGAAUUGACGGUACCGGAAUAGAAAGCCACGGCUAACUACGUG
rnacentral:rRNA from 1 species